rnacentral:lncRNA from 1 species
UUCCUUCCUUCCUUCCUUCACUUGUUUCUCUCCCUUUCCUUUCCUUCCCUUUCCUUUCUUCUCUCUCCCUCUCUUUCUUUCUUUCUUCUUUUUUUUUUAGAAGAAAAGAGGCCAGGCAUGGUGGCUCACGCCUGUAAUCCCAGCAUUUUGGGAGGCCAAGGCUGGUGGAUCACUUGAGGUCAGGAGUUCAAGACCAGCCUGGGCAACAUGGUGAGACCUUGUCUCUAAAAAAUAUAAAAAUUAGCCAGUUGUGGGGGUGUGUUCCUGUGGUCCCAGCUACUUGGGAGGCUGAGGUGAGAGGAUCACCUGAGCCACAGAGGUCAAGGCUGCAGUGAGCCAUGAUCAUGUCACCGCACUCCAGCCUGGGAAACAGAAUGAGACCCAAGAAAAGAAAAGGGGAGGGGAGGGAGAAAGGGAGGGGAGGGAGAAGGGGAGGGGAGGGAGAAGGGGAGGGGAGGGAGAAGGGGAGGGGAGAGGAGGAGAAAGGGAGCAGAGGGGAGAGGAGGAGAAAGGGAGGGGAGGGUAGAGGAGAGAGAGCCAGCAGUAAGGUCAUAAUAGGGACAUGUAUCUGUAAGAUCCUUAUAAUAGGUA